rnacentral:rRNA from 1 species
AUUGAACGCUGGCGGCAGGCCUAACACAUGCAAGUCGAGCGAGCGGCGGACGGGUGAGUAAUGUCUGGGAAACUGCCUGAUGGAGGGGGAUAACUACUGGAAACGGUAGCUAAUACCGCAUACCAUCAGAUGUGCCCAGAUGGGAUUAGCUAGUGGGUGGGGAAAUGGCUCACCUAGGCGACGAUCCCUAGCUGGUCUGAGAGGAUGACCCGCAACGCUGGAGCUGAGCCACGGUCCAGACUCCUACGGGGGGCAGCAGUGGGGAAUAUUGCACAAUGGGCGCAAGCCUGAUGCAGACGUGCCGGGUGUAUGAAGAAGGCCUUCGGGUUGUAAAGUACUUUCAGCGUGGAGGCGUUACCCGCAGAAGAAGCACCGGCUAACUCCGUGCCAGCAGCCGCGUAAUUC